rnacentral:rRNA from 1 species
UACGGAGGGUGCAAACGUUGCUCGGAAUCAUUGGGCGUAAAGCGCACGUAGGCGGCCGAUUAAGUCGGGUGUGAAAGCCCUGGGCUCAACCCAGGAAGUGCACACGAAACUGAUCGGCUUGAAUAUGGAAGAGGGUUGCGGAAUUCCCGGUGUAGAGGUGAAAUUCGUAGAUAUCGGGAGGAACACCAGUGGCGAAGGCGGCAACCUGGGCCAAUAUUGACGCUGAGGCGCGAAAGCUAGGGGAGCAAACGGG